rnacentral:Y_RNA from 1 species
GGCUGGUCCAAUGGUAGUGGGUUAUCACAACCUACAAACAUUAGUGUCACUAAAGUUGGUAUUCACCCCCCCCACUAAAUUUGACUGGUUUUAA